GAGUUUGAUCGUGGCUCAGGAUGAACGCUGGCGGCGUGCCUAACACAUGCAAGUCGAACGGAUCCAUAUUGAAACCUAGUGAUGUAUGGAUUAGUGGCGGACGGGUGAGUAACGCGUGGAUAACCUGCCGUAUACAGGGGAUAACACUUAGAAAUAGGUGCUAAUACCGCAUAAGCGCACGGUUCCGCAUGGAACAGUGUGAAAAACUCCGGUGGUAUACGAUGGAUCCGCGUCUGAUUAGCCAGUUGGCGGGGUAACGGCCCACCAAAGCGACGAUCAGUAGCCGGCCUGAGAGGGUGAACGGCCACAUUGGGACUGAGACACGGCCCAAACUCCUACGGGAGGCAGCAGUGGGGAAUAUUGCACAAUGGGGGAACCCUGAUGCAGCGACGCCGCGUGAGUGAAGAAGUAUCUCGGUACGUAAAGCUCUAUCAGCAGGGAAGAAAAUGACGGUACCUGACUAAG
rnacentral:rRNA from 1 species